ensembl:misc_RNA 7SK 7SK RNA
AGAUGUAAGGGUGAUCUGGCUGUGACAUCUGCCACCCCAUUUCUCCAAGGUUAACUUAGCUGGUCUGGGUGACUAGGCAACAUCUCCUUCCUUCCUCACCACUCCACAUGUCCCUCCCUCUAAAGAUGUGCAUGCUGUAGAAGAGGAUGACCUGCCCCAAAUAAAGGAAGACCUGUCUUCAAGACAAGGGUGUAGUAGUAACUGCACCCCCUCCAAACAUGCUCUCACAGGAUUUAUCUGACUAUGUAAAAAGCAGAAACUCUCUCUCAAACUACAAAUG